rnacentral:rRNA from 1 species
GACGAACGCUGGCGGCGUGCUUAACACAUGCAAGUCGAACGGAAAGGCCCUGCUUGCAGGGUGCUCGAGUGGCGAACGGGUGAGUAACACGUGGGUGAUCUGCCCCUUACUUUGGGAUAAGCCUGGGAAACUGGGUCUAAUACUGGAUAGGACCAUGCUGUAGGUGGUGUGGUGGAAAGAUUAGUUUCGGUAAGGGAUGAGCUCGCGGCCUAUCAGCUUGUUGGUGGGGUAAUGGCCUACCAAGGCGUCGACGGGUAGCCGGCCUGAGAGGGUGGACGGCCACAUUGGGACUGAGAUACGGCCCAGAAUCCUACGGGAGGCAGCAGUGGGGAAUAUUGCACAAUGGGGGCAAGCCUGAUGCAGCGACGCCGCGUGGGGGAUGACGGCCUUCGGGUUGUAAACUCCUUUCAGCCAUGACGAAGCCCUUGUGGUGACGGUAGUGGUAGAAGAAGCACCGGCUAACUACGUG